ensembl:lncRNA
AGGAGAUGAAAACUUGAGCUUGUUUAAAGGUUUUAAAUCUGAAGAUGGCAGACCCAGGAGAGGGAUUCUGAGUUCAGGCAUGUAGGUCAUGCAAGAAAAGUCUUGUCUUCGCUAGCAAGUUACUAUGAAGUGCAGUAAAAGUGUUCCUGCUGCUUCAGCCCUUGCUCAGACGCAAAGAAAAUUCUCCUUGCCUGAAGCGUCAGGAGAAACAAGAGUUGACAAACAAACCAGAGGACAGGGUAAGCUCGAGUGGGGUAACUUCAUCCUCUACCACUGCCACAUCCCUACACGAUGGACCCAAGUUAGCACCAGUAGGACAGCCAGCAGUGCUUACUUCCCAUGGUUUGUCCUCUUGUGCUUUCCUCACCGUCUGCUGGCUCCUUGCUUUUCAUUGAUGAGCUUAUUUACUCAGUUGCAAAAGGCUUCCAGCAGCAACGCUAACAAUCACCCAUCUUCACUGCAAAUGUCUUUGUUUUGUUAUUCUGAAAAUGUGCCUCCAAAGACUGCAUUUCUCUGUUGCCUGAUGAUCGGGCACCAAGUCAUGGGAGGAUCACUGGUGUGAUGCUACUGUAGUCUAUGAUUUGAGGAGGAGAGAUCCAGGCUGAAAGCUUUCUGGUGGCAUUCCAAACGAGCUGUCAUGAGAAGAGAAUCCAACGCGCAAAGACCUCAGUGCUGAGGGAAAAUCAGAGGGUUUCAUGUACUCAGAGGAAAAGUGUGGAACUAUAAAUGCUAACUCGGUAACUCCCCAGGAAUGAGCAUGUGCCAUGCUGAGACUGAAUGCAUCAUUAGCAAAUCCCUGAGGCAGAUCUCUAUUUCAGACUGCACAGUAUAACAGCUCCAGGGAACGUACAGAGACACCGAGGAUGCUGAUAAUUUCACAGUUUCUGCUUCCCUGUGAGGCAGAAAAUAGAAAAGCUAUGAAGCUCUUUCCCAGGAACACAAAAGUAAUGUUUUCCAGGGCGAUCAAAAGCUGGAGAAGAUAGGUUUGUUGUCUGUAAACCGAGAGAAAAGGGAACACUAUCGUCUGCUGCCAUCGCUGCAAGAGACAUCACUCAGCUGAUCAAGCAAGCUGAAGCAAUACAGCUGGCCCCUUGCAGAGGAGACGCUGAGGGAUGCAAAGCUGGCUUGGGCGAACGGAGAUCUCAGGGUCACGUACGGCCCACAGGGGAUUCACUCUGUGUCAGUGUCUCCUGCAGCAGCACAGACUAUCGAUGCACGUCACACGUCUGCCCUUCAUCGCCAGCAACCCCUGGGAAAGACUUUGAGACAAGAUGAGAUGGAGGAGCAGAGGUUCCAGACAUAUUCAGUGAGUUCCGUGAAGAAUUCAGCCAGGCUAAAGGACAGUGUAUUAAUGCUCUGAAUGGGGGAGACCUGCAGGUGAUCUCAACUUCUAACAGAAUAAGAAGGUUACAAAUCCAAACUGCCCAGCUGACUCAAGCUAGGAGCCUCCAAUUUAUCCACGGGCUUCUUCUGGCACAGAACCCACACGUCGUGCAAAGGACAGCUCCUCCAGAGAACAUACAUUUUGUUUACGAGGCAAGCCAUUUACGAAUGCCAAACCCUGCAAAUUCUAGCUGGAAGGAUACCAGCAAAUAUCUCCACUGCAGAGUUUACCCACUGCCCAUCAGCUCUGCCCAUGCUGCACACACGCCCUCCGUUCAUGCUCUCAUAGCCAUACCCACGCUGUGUGCUGGGACUUGGCAGUGCGUAC